rnacentral:rRNA from 1 species
GAAUUUUGGACAAUGGGCGAAAGCCUAAUCCAGCAAUGCCGCGUGCAGGAUGAAGGCCGUCGGGUUGUAAACUGCUUUUGUACGGAACGAAAAGCGUUGGGUUAAUACCCUGGAGUCAGGACGGUACCGUAAGAAGAAGAACCGGCUAACUACGUGGCAUCAGCCGGGGUAAGACGUAGGGGGCAAGCGUGAAUCGGAAUUACUGGGCGUAAAGCGUGCGCAGGCGGUUUUGUAAGGCAGAGGUGAAAUCCCCGGGCUCAACCUGGGAACUGCCUUUGUGACUGCAAGGCUAGAGUACGGCAGAGGGGGGUGGAAUUCCGCGUGUAGCAGUGAAAUGCGUAGAUAUGCGGAGGAACACCGAUGGCGAAGGCAACCCCCUGGGCCUGUACUGACGCUCAUGCACGAAAGCGUGGGGAGCAAACA